GACGAACGCUGGCGGCGUGCCUAAUACAUGCAAGUAGAACGCUGAAGGAGGAGCUUGCUCUUCUGGAUGAGUUGCGAACGGGUGAGUAACGCGUAGGUAACCUGCCUGGUAGCGGGGGAUAACUAUUGGAAACGAUAGCUAAUACCGCAUAAGAGUAGAUGUUGCAUGACAUUUACUUAAACGGUGCAAUUGCAUCACUACCAGAUGGACCUGCGUUGUAUUAGCUAGUUGGUGGGGUAACGGCUUACCAAGGCGACGAUACAUAGCCGACCUGGGAAGGUGAUCGGCCAAACUGGGACUGAGACACGGCCCAGACUCCUACGGGAGGCAGCAGUAGGGAAUCUUCGGCAAUGGACGGAAGUCUGAACGAGCAACGCCGCGGGAGGGAAGAAGGUUUUCGGAUCGUAAAGCUCUGUUGUAAGAGAAGAACGAGUGUGAGAGUGGAAAGUUCACACUGUGACGGUAUCUUACCAGAAAGGGACGGCUAACUACGUG
rnacentral:rRNA from 1 species